CGAAGGACCCGAGCGUUAUCCGGAUUUAUUGGGUUUAAAGGGUGCGUAGGCGGACUUAUAAGUCAGUGGUGAAAUCUCCCAGCUCAACUGGGAAACUGCCAUUGAAACUAUUUGUCUUGAGUACAUUUGAGGCGGGCGGAAUGUGUCAUGUAGAGGUGAAAUUCUUAGAUAUGACACAGAACACCAAUUGCGAAGGCAGCUCGCUAAACUGUAACUGACGCUGAGGCACGAAAGCGUGGGGAUCAAACAGGAUUAGAUACCCUGGUAGUCCACGCCCUAAACGAUGAUUACUCGAAGUGUGCGAUACACAGCACGCCUCUGAGCGAAAGCAUUAAGUAAUCCACCUGGGAAGUACGUCCGCAAGGAUG
rnacentral:rRNA from 1 species